UCCCAAUGAGCACAGUGGCCUUCAUCAUGGAAGAGGUUCAGAUCCAUCAGGAGUCUUCCUAGAGGUGGCUGCCCGUUUAAACUGAGUGAACGGGGGAGAAGGGCUUUAAUCAGUGAGGUGACCAAGAACCCGAGGGUCACUUUGUCAGAUCUCCAGCAUUUUUCUUGAGAGAGUAGAACCAUCCAGAAGGGCAACCAUCUCUGCAGCAAUCCACCAAUCAGGCCUGUAUGGUAGA